AGCAGCCGCGGUAAUUCCAGCUCCAAUAGUGUAUAUUAAAGUUGUUGCAGUUAAAAAGCUCGUAGUUGAAUUUCGGGAUCAAUAUUUCGGUCAUGCCGUUGGUAUGCACUGUUAUCAUUGAUUUCUCACCUUCUAAAGAACCGUAAUGCCAUUAAUUUGGUGUUACGGGGAAUUAGGACUGUUACCUUGAAAAAAUUAGAGUGUUUAAAGCAGGCUCACGCUUGAAUACAUUAGCAUGGAAUAAUGAAAUAGGACAUCCGAUUCUAUUUUGUUGGUUUCUAAGAUUGACGUAAUGAUUAAUAGGGACAGUCGGGGGCAUCAGUAUUCAAUUGUCAGAGGUGAAAUUCUUGGAUGUAU
rnacentral:rRNA from 1 species